rnacentral:rRNA from 2 species
UCGAACGGUAAGGCCCUUCGGGGUACACGAGUGGCGAACGGGUGAGUAACACGUGGGUGAUCUGCCCUGCACUUUGGGAUAAGCCUGGGAAACUGGGUCUAAUACCGGAUAGGACCACGGCCUUCAUGGGUUGUGGUGGAAAGCUUUUGCGGUGUGGGAUGGGCCCGCGGCCUAUCAGCUUGUUGGUGGGGUAAUGGCCUACCAAGGCGACGACGGGUAGCCGGCCUGAGAGGGUGUCCGGCCACACUGGGACUGAGAUACGGCCCAGACUCCUACGGGAGGCAGCAGUGGGGAAUAUUGCACAAUGGGCGCAAGCCUGAUGCAGCGACGCCGCGUGAGGGAUGACGGCCUUCGGGUUGUAAACCUCUUUCAGUAGGGACGAAGCGCAAGUGACGGUACCUAUAGAAGAAGCACCGGCCAACUACGUGCCAGCAGCCGCGGUAAUACGUAGGGUGCGAGCGUUGUCCGGAAUUACUGGGCGUAAAGAGCUCGUAGGUGGUUUGUCGCGUUGUUCGUGAAAACUCACAGCUUAACUGUGGGCGUGCGGGCGAUACGGGCAGACUGGAGUACUGCAGGGGAGACUGGAAUUCCUGGUGUAGCGGUGGAAUGCGCAGAUAUCAGGAGGAACACCGGUGGCGAAGGCGGGUCUCUGGGCAGUAACUGACGCUGAGGAGCGAAAGCGUGGGGAGCGAACAGGAUUAGAUACCCUGGUAGUCCACGCCGUAAACGGUGGGUACUAGGUGUGGGUUUCCUUCCUUGGGAUCCGUGCCGUAGCUAACGCAUUAAGUACCCCGCCUGGGGAGUACGGCCGCAAGGCUAAAACUCAAAGGAAUUGACGGGGGCCCGCACAAGCGGCGGAGCAUGUGGAUUAAUUCGAUGCAACGCGAAGAACCUUACCUGGGUUUGACAUGCACAGGACGCCGGCAGAGAUGUCGGUUCCCUUGUGGCCUGUGUGCAGGUGGUGCAUGGCUGUCGUCAGCUCGUGUCGUGAGAUGUUGGGUUAAGUCCCGCAACGAGCGCAACCCUUGUCUCAUGUUGCCAGCACGUUAAUGGUGGGGACUCGUGAGAGACUGCCGGGGUCAACUCGGAGGAAGGUGGGGAUGACGUCAAGUCAUCAUGCCCCUUAUGUCCAGGGCUUCACACAUGCUACAAUGGCCGGUACAAAAGGCUGCGAUGCCGUGAGGUGGAGCGAAUCCUUUCAAAGCCGGUCUCAGUUCGGAUCGGGGUCUGCAACUCGACCCCGUGAAGUCGGAGUCGCUAGUAAUCGCAGAUCAGCAACGCUGCGGUGAAUACGUUCCCGGGCCUUGUACACACCGCCCGUCACGUCAUGAAAGUCGGUAACACCCGAAGCCGGUGGCCUAACCCCUUGUGGGAGGGAGCCGUCGAAG